rnacentral:rRNA from 1 species
UACGUAGGUGGCGAGCGUUGUCCGGAUUUACUGGGCGUAAAGGGCUUGUAGGCGGUCCGUUAAGUCCGAUGUGAAAUCUCCCGGCUCAACUGGGAGAGGUCAUUGGAUACUGGCGGACUAGAGGGGGGUAGAGGAAAGCAGAAUUCCUGGUGUAGCGGUGAAAUGCGUAGAUAUCAGGAGGAAUACCGGUGGCGAAGGCGGCAUCCUGGACCAUUACUGACGCUGAGGCGCGAAAGCUAGGGGAGCAAACGGG